rnacentral:rRNA from 1 species
GACGAACGCUGGCGGCGUGCCUAAUACAUGCAAGUCGAACGAACCGCGACUAGGUGCUUGCACUUGGUCAAGGUGAGUGGCGAACGGGUGAGUAACACGUGGGUAACCUACCUCAUAGUGGGGGAUAACAGUCGGAAACGACUGCUAAUACCGCAUAGGACAUAGGAUCACAUGAUCCAGUGAGGAAAGGUGGCGCAAGCUAUCGCUAAGAGAUGGACCCGCGGUGCAUUAGCUAGUUGGUAGGGUAAAGGCCUACCAAGGCGAUGAUGCAUAGCCGACCUGAGAGGGUGAUCGGCCACAUUGGGACUGAGACACGGCCCAAACUCCUACGGGAGGCAGCAGUAGGGAAUCUUCCGCAAUGGACGCAAGUCUGACGGAGCAACGCCGCGUGAGUGAAGAAGGUCUUCGGAUCGUAAAGCUCUGUUGUUAGAGAAGAACAGCGCGUAGAGUAACUGUUAUGCGUGUGACGGUAUCUAACCAGAAAGCCACGGCUAACUACGUG